UUAAUUGAAGCCAAAAAGAGGCACUUUAUUGUUAAUAAAAAUAAUGGUUAUAAACCCAAUUAAA
rnacentral:tRNA from 1 species